AACGAACGCUGGCGGCAGGCCUAACACAUGCAAGUCGAGCGAAGACUUCGGUCUUAGCGGCGGACGGGUGAGUAACGCGUGGGAAUAUGCCUUUCGGUAUGGAAUAGUCCUGGGAAACUGGGGGUAAUACCAUAUACGCCCUUUGGGGGAAAGAUUUAUCGCCGAAAGAUUAGCCCGCGUUGGAUUAGGUAGUUGGUGGGGUAAUGGCUCACCAAGCCGACGAUCCAUAGCUGGUUUGAGAGGAUGAUCAGCCACACUGGGACUGAGACACGGCCCAG
rnacentral:rRNA from 1 species